UUACGGCCAUAUCUCGAUGAAACCCUGGUUUUUGUACGAUCACCAAAGUUAAGCAACGUCGAGCCUGGACAGUACCUAGAUGGGUGACCACUUGGGAAUACCAGGUGCUGUAA